rnacentral:rRNA from 1 species
GACGAACGCUGGCGGCGUGCUUAACACAUGCAAGUCGAACGGAAAGGCCCUGCUUUUGUGGGGUGCUCGAGUGGCGAACGGGUGAGUAACACGUGAGUAACCUGCCCUUGACUUUGGGAUAACUUCAGGAAACUGGGGCUAAUACCGGAUAGGAGCUCCUGCUGCAUGGUGGGGGUUGGAAAGUUUCGGCGGUUGGGGAUGGACUCGCGGCUUAUCAGGUUGUUGGUGGGGUAGUGGCUGACCAAGGCUUUGACGGGUAGCCGGCCUGAGAGGGUGAGCGGCCACAUUGGGACUGAGAUACGGCCCAGCCUCCUACGGGAGGCAGCAGUGGGGAAUAUUGCACAAUAGGCGGAAGCCUGAUGCAGCAACGCCGCGUGCGGGAUGACGGCCUUCGGGUUGUAAACCGCUUUCGCCUGUGACGAAGCGUGAGUGACGGUAAUGGGUAAAGAAGCACCGGCUAACUACGUG